rnacentral:lncRNA from 1 species
AAAAAAGAAAGAAAGAGAGAGGAGGAAAGAGAAGAGGAAAGGGAAAGGAGGAAAGAGGAUAAGAAAAGGAAAGGAGGAAAGAGAGAAGAAAAGGAAAGAAGGAAAGAGAGAAGAAAGAGAAAGGAGGAAAGAAAAGAGGAAAGAGAGUCAGGCAGAGAAGAGGAAGAGAAGGAAGAAAUAGGGUGAGUGAGCAGAGAGAAAAUUCAGUGAGCCUUACAUAUUGUAAACACUAAAGUUGUAGCCCUAUUAUUUUACAUAGUGGAAAAGUUACUACUGCUGCUCUUCGGGGACGUAGGCAUAGCCGAACCUCGUUAAAUACUGUGUCUCAUCUACUUUACGUGCAGCUCAAUAUUCGCACAUAUUCCAGGUCAUUUUAUAACACGUUAUCAGCACGAGAAGCUCUCAGGUAUAAUUUUUGUGCUGCACUAUUAUUUAUACUACUAACCAUUAUGUUGAUGUAAAGAAGAAAAGCCAACGCAUCUAGCUUUCCACUAAUAUAUCAGUAUAAUAUAUAUAUAUAUAUAUUAUAUAUAUGAAAAGUUGAUGGUAAUAUAAUAUACUAUAUUUAUCUGCUUUUCUAUUACUAACCAUUAACAAAAAUGGACCCUUGGUAAUACUAAACAUAUUAUCAGUGGGAGACCGUUACUAAUACUAACACUUUCCUUAUCUUGUUCAGUGGUGGUUUUUAUUCCCACAUUUAUUUUAUUUACUGUAUGGUGUAGGUUUAUUACCCAUACAACAGUAUUUAUUUAAAAGGGUGGUGCGGGUUUAUCGCCCACGCCUUUGCUUUUAUUUAAAUGUAUGGAGCAGAAUUAGUGUCCAUACAAGCACGUUUACUUUAUCGCAAAUUUACUUUUACUUAAAGUAUUAUUUAUGGUAUGGUGUAGGUUUAUUACUCAUACGGCAAUAUUUAUUUAAAGGGUGGUGCGGGUUUAUCGUCCACGCCUUUGCUUUUAUUUAAAUGUAUGGAGCAGAAUUAGUGCCCAUACAAGCACGUUUACUUUACCGCACAUUUAAUUUUAUUUAAGGUAUGGUGCAGGAUUAACGUCCAUACAGCAAGCAAUUUAAUUUAUGAAUUUAAUUUACUGCACAUUUACAUUUAUUUAAAAGGGUGGUGCGGGUUUAUCGUCCACGCCUUUACUUUUAUUUAAAUGUAUGGUGCGGGUUUAUCGUCCAUACUAGUAAUUUAUUUACCAGCAAUUUAUUUUAUGGAUUAAUUGUGCUGUAUGAUGAGUUUUUACAGUAUGCAGAUCAGGACCAGAAGUUCCUUGAUCCUCAUCAUACAAUUACAUCAGGACUUGAAGAUCCUUGAUGAUGAUAUUAAUAUGAGAGCUGGCAGUCUCUCCGGUACUGUAUUUGUAAACAUGUGAUUGAAAUUAAGGGUCCUUGAUCCCUGACAUGUAAAUAAGGACCUAGAGUUCCUUAAUGAUGUAACAGUACCGUAUUGGUUCAUAGUGCCGUACACAUUGAUGAUAACUGUACUGGCAGAUGAAUAGAUACGUAUUCAUGACUUGAUGAAUAAUACUAUUCACAUGAAUAGUGACGUAUGUAUAAAUAUGAACCAUUUUGGGUAAACCAUCACUAUAUACAAAAGAGAACCUGCAGUUUCAUGGUGCCGUACACAUUGAUGAUAACUGUACUGGCAGAUGAAUAGAUACGUAUUCAUGACUUGAUGAAUAGUACUAUUCACAUAAAUAGUGACGUAUGCAUAAAUAUGAACCAUUUUGGGUAAACCGUCACUAUAUACAAAAGGGAACCUGCAGUUCCUUAAACUCAUGGAUGAACAAUUAAAUGAGAUGCCAGAAGUUCCUCAAAAUAUGGACAAUUAUGUAAGGGCUUGAAGUCCCGAAAUAUGUACAGAAAAUUGUAAAAAUGUCCAUACCAUGAGAAUAUGUGGCUUUGGCCUGAAGUUCAAAAUUUAACAGUGUUGAGAACCUGAAGUUCCAACAAUUAAAUGGACAACCCUUGAGGUAUUAUUGCAAAUUGUGGUAUGCCACAUAUUUCUUUGGCAUAAGAAGAUGAUGAAUUUAAAGUUCGAUUUUGUUAUAAUCGACACCUCAAGGAAGAAAUAUAUUUUGUGAAUUCCGGUUGUUAAGAAUACACCGCGAAAUGAAUAAUAUCAAUAUAAACCUCAAAUAAUGAAUUGAGGCUCCCCACAUAUUUUGUUAUAUCUGGGCCGGAAGCCCAUGGAUCCAAAUAUAUGAGAGAUCCUAAACUUGAAGUUGUGGGUAUAUAGUAGUUAAUGCUCUUCACUACUAUAUUGCGAUAUUAUUAUGGCUUUUACUCAAUUCACAUUUCAUGUCCAUUUGAAAAUGGCAAAUAAAUUCUGAGUUUGUGCUCAGGCCAAAAGUUCCGGGCUACCAUGCAAUUUGGGAGAGACAAUGUGGUUAUUUGAACCUAUAAGGCACAAGGUUCCAAACCGUCAUUUUGAAAAGACGUAAAAACCACAGGUGCAAGUUUAAGAAUGUGCGCAAUUAUUAUUACAGGAACAUACAACAGAUAGAUUUUUUUUCCACCUGCAAUGAAGGUGCAAGCCCUGUAAAAUCUAUAAAAUUACAUUAUGUUCUGGAAGCCUCUGAAGGAAGAGUACGGCGCCUCUUAAGCUUGGCCAUGAGCUUCUCGUGGUCUCCCAAAAUUCUUUCAUUGGAGACCUGCAGCAUGUCUAGCCUUCUCAGUGUAUCAACGGAGUACGAACUCACCAGUUUCAACAAGGAAUUAUUCUCUCCUUUAAGUUUCUCAACCUCCUGUUGAGACUCAUGAAGCAUUCUUUGAAGAGACGAAUUUUCAGUUGUCAACUUCUCAACCUCGUUUGCUCUAGCACGCAAACGAUCAGCCAUGUUAGAAACAGAAGCAGCACUCUGAAUGCUAAAAGCCAUUGAGUCAUCAAUAGCCUCUUCCUCAGACCUCCCUGUUAACAGCAUUUCAUCCAUUGGAGUAAUGAAAUUCCUAGCUACUAUGACAGCAGUAGCAUCAUUUAUCAUCACAGAAUCAUUAACUGUGAGAUGACGAUUUUGGGAUACAAAGGAUGGACGCCAAACUUGGGCAUCAUUGGUAGUUGUGGGAGCAUCAUUUAAAUUGAAAUAAUUUGGGCAGGAAGAAGAGGAAGCCAUUUUUAAGAAGGUUUCGAAGAAAGUCUUAGGAAAACUAAAGUUUCAGAAAAUGAAGAAAUUCAAGUUGAAACGCAGUUGCUCCAAUCAAGUUUUGCAAAGGCCAUAUCUAUAGGAGGAAAUAUGGCUACAGUUUCUAGGAUCCCAAUAUUAUCUCAGAUUCCCAUAUUAUCUUUUUCUUUCCCAGAGUCCAAAACUUCAUGUGGCCUCUAAUAAUGCCUGUCGGCACUUUCGGCGUUUUCAAGUAUUAUUUUCAAAGCCGAUCUUGCUUUACGGAUUUCACGGAGCUACUUUUUCAAAAGUAUCCCUAGAAUCUCGCAAUUUUCCUAUGGUUAAUUUGAAAUUCACCGAUUCUACCUAUUCAUUGUAUUUGUGUAUAAAUGUGUUACUAACGAAAUUUUCUUUGCAGAAGACAUCCAGUUUUCUCCAUACCUAGUGAUGCGAUAUCUACUUAUUUUUCUUAUCAGUGAGCAUUCAAUAUGCCCGAGAAGCAAGACUAUCUCUGAUCAUCCAUUCAGGAAGCGAGACUAUCCCUGAUCACGUUUCCGCCACAUCCAGGAACUGUGAAGGCGACCUUAUGCUCUAAUCUCCUGAGGUCCUUCUAUACUAGGAGAACUGAGAGCUUGUUGUUUGCUCCCACCAGCUUCCUUCCUUGAUUGCUUACCUUACCUUGCAAUCAAUAUCACAAUCUUUUUGCAUUUUUUCUCUUUUUAUAACUCUCUGUUCAUAAGAGAUUUUAUUUCUUUAGAAUGAACAUCUGAAGAAUAAAUCCAUGCAGUGAUCCUAACUCUGAGAGUUAUUUGUUUUUGACAGAGAAAAGAAUUGUGAUUUUUGCUCUUGCAGGAUAUAACAAGAUCAUCAAGCGAUACUUUAUAUUUACUGGGCCGAUAUGAGCUUGAAUGAUACUUGAGAAAAGUUUCUCCCACCUAAGGAUGUAAGCAAUACUUGUGUUAUUUUAUGCUUAUAUACCUAUUUGAUAUUUUAUCUUGAAAGGUAACCAAAUGGGGAGAUAAGUCCGUUCCAAAAGAAUGGCUUGUAUGUAUCCAUGAAUUAUUAACGCAAAUUUUACAGAUUGCAAGUUGGAUACAUUGAUAAUACACUGCACAGAUUAAAGUCUCAUAAGAACAGAAUAUGGGUAUAGCAGUGAUCAAUAUGAUGCACGCCUGUUGCGUAGCAAAUGAUAUGGAUUGAAGUCCCGAAAGGACAAUCCUUUGACAUGUCAAUAUUGAUAUUAUGCACGCCUAAUGCGUAGCAAAUUAUAUGGGUUAAAGUCCCAUAAUAUGGGUUAAAGUCCCAUAAAUUAAUUGACAUGUAUGUAUUAAUCUGUGGCAUGCCUACAGCAUGACAGAUAUAUGGGUUCUAAAUGUUCCAACUCCCUAAAUGGAGAUUAUCCACGCCCUACUAUAAAAUAACGCUCCAUUGGAGGUUAUAAUCCACAUUCUCACAUAAUAAAAGCCCCCUGAAGUGGCUUGGGUAUCCAAAAGCAAAGAAAUGCUUAUAAUUGAUGCAUGCACGUGCAAAUGAGAAUGGUGGGAUCAUGAAUUGAUGAAUGACAAUUUUUGAUCAUGAAUUGAUGAAUGACAAUUUUUGGUUUUGGAGUAGCUACUCAAAUCAUCAAUGGGCUGUGUUGAUUGGAACCACGUUCAAUUAUUAAAUGUCGACAAUAUUAUUGGCCAAAAUGGAACGAGGUAAUUCCAUUAUAAAUGAGAAUGAACGUGAAAGAACAAACCCACAGUACGAACCCCAAAUUUGUUAAUACUGAAAGUUAUACUUGGGUGUUCGGAAUAAAAGGGAAUAUACCUACUUUGUAUGACACACUGUUUCUGGCAGAAACAAGGAAUGUUGGGUUUUCUCCAUAUUUACAGAUUCAAUUGUGCCCCCCUUAUUACACAAUUACGGAGACCAACAUAUUAUCUUUAAGGGUUAUUAAAUGCACAGAGCAUAUCACCUGAAGUGAUUCCCUAAAGAUGUAUAAAUAGCUGGGUUAAAGCUAUAUAAUGUGUCAUAAAGUUUAAUCCCUUUUAAACAAAAUCCGUUGAGAGGAUUGACAUUGCAUAAAGCAAGUCCCUAAAGGACAUGUGCUUGAAGCACAAAAUUUGUACUCAAUAUUAAUAUGCAUAAAUUACCUCAGUGAGUACAUUGAUGUGAUUGCAACACAUUAAAGAUUCUGCAGAAUUCAAGAAAUAUUUGUCUCGACUUAAGGAUCGAGCAUUAUACCAACGAGAUUAUUGCUUAUACUAAGAAAGUAUUGAAGCAUUUUUAUGAGGAUUAUCCGUUGGACACUUUAAUGAUUUUCCGGAAGUAUAUUGGACCGGACAUCAUAUUUUCCAGAUAAGGCUCAACUCCAUCACCAUCAUUUUGGGAUGAUGUGAGGUAUAUUUGAUGCUAUCUCCGCAUAACAUCAUGUAUGGGCAUAUUCUUCCAUAUGAUCUUACAAAUAGCCCAGGUUUUGUUGGAAACGCGGACUCUGAAAAUUUCUAUGAUUUACAUAGAGAUAGCUCACUGGAAAUAUAUUUACUAUAUGAAUUGUUGGUGGCUACAUCAUUCACUCACUCCGAAAGAUUCUCACUCCAAAGAUAGUUAUGAAGACAUCAGGGGGAGAUAUUAAUCAGGGGGAGCAUCCAGAAGUAUGCUAUACAGAUUGUUGUACUCUUCUUUCCAUCAGUUCUCUACCUUACUAGGUUUUCUCCAAGCAAGUCUUUAAUGAUACAACCAACAUAUCAUUAGUGGUCUCCAAGGGAGAGUGUUGUAAAAGAAUAAACAUGUGGAGCCCACUAACUAUUCAUUACUAUUCAUUUGGAGACUUUUGGUAGAGUUUGUCUGUCACGGGUGAAUAGUGAAUAGUGAUGAAUAGUGAUUAUUUCAGCCUAUAAAUAAGAAGAGAAACGGAAGGAGAAGAGAAGAAAAAAGAGGAGGAAAAAAAGAAAGAAAGAGAGAGGAGGAAAGAGAAGAGGAAAGGGAAAGGAGGAAAGAGGAGAAGAAAAGGAAAGGAGGAAAGAGAGAAGAAAAGGAAAGAAGGAAAGAGAGAAGAAAGAGAAAGGAGGAAAGAAAAGAGGAAAGAGAGUCAGGCAGAGAAGAGGAAGAGAAGGAAGAAAUAGGGUGAGUGAGCAGAGAGAAAAUUCAGUGAGCCUUACAUAUUGUAAACACUAAAGUUGUAGCCCUAUUAUUUUACAUAGUGGAAAAGUUACUACUGCUGCUCUUCGGGGACGUAGGCAUAGCCGAACCUCGUUAAAUACUGUGUCUCAUCUACUUUACGUGCAGCUCAAUAUUCGCACAUAUUCCAGGUCAUUUUAUAACAAUCUUUUUAUUUUUGGGCAGUAGUGUUUUUUUUUUCUUUUUUUUUCAUCAUGAUUAUUUCAGGCGUGAAUCUUUAUUAAAUCCCGCUGUUCCUAACUUUUACGUUGGGUUUUGGAUGUCUGUAUAAAGCAUCUAUUCCAACAACAAAAAAUAUCAAUCCGUAUAAAAAAUAAAAAAUAAAAAAUAAAAAAAACCAACCGCUAUAUAUACCUUACCUAGCAACAUCAAUCUCUACCCUCAAACUAAAAAAUCCAACCAAAUCAAUAACUCAGUCACGUACGAUGCGUCUUCAAUGGGUUAUUGCAGUCCUUGUUCUGGUCGUUCCACUUGUGACUGCUGCUGCCCCAGAUGAAGUUCUUGAGACUUGG